rnacentral:rRNA from 1 species
GACGAACGCUGGCGGCAGGCUUAACACAUGCAAGUCGAACGCAUCGCAAGAUGAGUGGCAGACGGGUGAGUAACGCGUGGGAACGUACCCUUUACUACGGAAUAACUCAGGGAAACUUGUGCUAAUACCGUAUGUGCCCUUCGGGGAAAGAUUAUCGGUAAAGGAUCGCCCGCGUUGGAUUAGCUAGUUGGUGGGGUAAAGGCCUACCAAGGCGACGAUCCAUAGCUGGUCUGAGAGGAUGAUCAGCCACAUUGGGACUGAGACACGGCCCAAACUCCUACGGGAGGCAGCAGUGGGAAUAUUGGACAAUGGGCGCAAGCCUGAUCCAGCCAUGCCGCGUGAGUGAUGAAGGCCCUAGGGUUGUAAAGCUCUUUCACCGGUGAAGAUAAUGACGGUAAACCGGAGAAGAAGCCCCGGCUAACUUCGUGCCAGCAGCCGCGGUAAUACGAAGGGGCUAGCGUUGUUCGGAAUUACUGGCGUAAAGCGCACGUAGGCGGGUAUUUAAGUCAGGGGUGAAAUCCCGGAGCUCAACUCCGGAACUGCCUUUGAUACUGGGUACCUAGAGUAUGGAAGAGGU